rnacentral:rRNA from 1 species
UACGAAGGGUCCUAGCGUUACUCGGAAUUAUUGGGCGUAAAGCGUGCGUAGGCGGACUUGAAAGUCAAGUGCUAAAUCCCCGAGCUCAACUUGGGAAUCGUGCUUGAAACUUCUUGUCUGGAGUAUGAUAGAGAGCAGUGGAAUUCUUGGUGGAGGGGUAAAAUCCGUAGAUAUCAAGAGGAACACCGGAUGCGAAGGCGACUGCUUGGGUCAUUACUGACGCUGAGGCACGAAAGCGUGGGGAGCAAACAGG